AUAUUACCUCAUUGUUGAUAAAUAAAGCAAAUUGGCUGUUAAUUUUAUGAUGAAUCAAAAGUGUUGUGGUUGUGGAAGCAUACAAAAAUGGUGUGAUUUUACGAGAGAUUGCUCAUUAUGGUCGGUCGCCACUGAAUGUUUUAAUAUCGCUGAUGGAAAUGAAAGUAGCAGAAUGAUACGCAGAACGUGUAACAUUCGUGUAUUGAAUCAUGUCAGCAACAACGACACCAGCAAUGAUUCUAGCGGUGCGUCUACAUCACAAAUGCCAGAUCGUUCUACAUCACGUUCCACACCAGGUUCUUCUACAUUAAACACACAGUUUUCGCGAAUGAACGUGAUUAGCUAAACAAAUAUCAACCAUCAAAGGUAAAAUCUAUAAGCUCAAAUAGAUUGAUAUAAACUGAUUCACUAUAACAUGACAUUGAAUUGCAUGGAACUGUUGUAUCGCUGUAUCGAUGACAUUGAAUG